ensembl:lncRNA
AAUUCUUCUCUGUACAUCCCCUCAAACAGAAUGCUGUGUCUGGCUGUGGACACUGCACUUGAAAAGAGACGUGGACACCUGCAGAAAUUCCGGAUUACAACAUGAUUGGAAAUCUGAGAAACAUGACUAAGGAGAAAAUACCAAAUGAGAUAGAAUUGUUCUGAAAAAAGAAAAAUGUGAUUUCAGCCAAAUCACAGGGACUUGGAGCAACAUACAUUCAACAGAGCAGUAAUUAGAAGGACCUUUGGUUAUCCUGGAAAUGAGAUUCAGAUGGCAGAGAUAAAACUGGUAGAUGCUAAAACACAGACCCCCUCUCUAAAGUUCUGGGAGACGAAAUGGCCCUGUUGUAUAUCACAUCGCACUGCAGUAAAUUGUGGCUGAUGAAGUAACGGACAUGGGAACUCUGAACUGCCAAGGUGCCUCUAAAUGAGCUCCGGACUCCAGAGUGGUGAGCCCCCUCUUGCAUAAGGUAAAUGCACAACAUUCCAUGUUGCACCUGACCUUGGAUAGAAGCUGGAGUCUGUUUUUCACUGUAAUGCAGAGCAGUUGUUUGGCUGUAGAAGACACAAGGUUGUGUGUUAGGAUUUGUGUAGGCUGGUAGGUAACAACGGGGGCCUCCUGUUUUCAAGCAAGGAAGAAGAUUCCUUUGUUUUUUUUUUUUUGUUUUUUUUUUUUUUUUGCUGUUGAACUGGAAGUCUACUUCUAUUGUGCUUAAUACUGAUAUGCAAGCACCUUGAUCAGAGCUGGAGGGAAAGAUUAUCUCACUGUUGGUCAUUUCCCCCCCCCCUACCUGAAGUACUUCUACCCAGUGAACCUGCUCCCCCUCAUACUGGCUUAAAUUGGCACUUAAAGUUUAGUCUGUAUUUCACUUGUUCUUUUCAACAACAUUAAUCUUUGUCACAACAGACCACUAUAUUCUGAGUAUGGAUUUAUCUGUGCAGAUCUCAUUCCAAAUAACUAUCUAAAUAAAAUAAAAUAUUUCU